AUGGGACCCUGGCUGAGUAAUUUACUGAUUCUUGCUGCAUGUUGUUAUGAAUGCAGAGGAGAAGAUUCAGUCAUUCAGCCACCAGGAGAUGUGAUCACUACUGAGGGAGAACAGGUCACACUGGACUGUCAAGUUGAUGCGGAUGAUACGACAAAUCUCAACCUGUUCUGGUACAAGCAUGAAGUAAAUGGCUUCCCAAAGUUCAUGCUGGGCCGUUUUUCUUUUGGAAGUAAAAAUGCCACUGAGUUCAAGGAUAGAUUUGAUGCCCAUCUCGAUGCAGACUCCAAGUCAGUCCCCUUGACGAUCCAGAGGUUGCAGCUGUCUGACUCUGCUGUGUACUACUGUGCUCUGAGCCCCACUGUGACAACAGGAUAUACAGCCUCAUUACAAAAACGAUUUGUUUGUGUGAUAUAA